AGUUAUGCUGCCUUACACUACUUUCUGGCUGUGUUCGUCCGUCAUAGACCAUUUAACGGUAGCAGAGGGGGGAGAAAAGAAAAUUGGCCUGCAUGAUUGAAAGAUCUGAUGCGCAUUAACUCGGGGCUGCGACAACUACUAAUACAACGGUUGCAGUCUAACUGUGCUCCAAAGACUCAUGGUUGGUUUAGAAGUGCCCGGUGCGGGUGCUCGGAGUUCCCCACGGAGGCGUGCGAUCUGGAAUGGUGCUAGGGUGGGAAAGUGACACCUCCUGCUAAAUGUGAGCCGGAUUAACAUGCAAAUGUGUCUUGUUAAGUAUGUGCAAUGUUAACCGGUUUGUAGGUUUUAUUGUCAUUUAGAUCAGGGUUAAAGUUGCACAUUAACACGAAUAGAAAGCGUUAUUUGACUACCGUUGUAGUAGGUUGUAGUAAACAGCACAUUUACUCGUUUAAUGUCACUCAUCGCACCACCAAAAUUGAAGCACACCUGCACAGAUUUUGUAACAAAAACGAAAAUUUUAACAGAAAAUAAUUUCCAGAAAAUAGGUCAUAUUGAAAUGUAGGCAUGCCAUUUUGGAUUAUGAGAUGAAAGACAAUCAAAUUGAUAUACAGUUAAUUGAAAAUUAAUAAACAAUAUUUCCAUGCACAUAAAUAAUUAUAGAAUGGAAUAUCAAAUUGAAUGGUGUAACAUUUUCUUGUUAUCCCCUCCGUAAAUUAGUAAAUAGCCAUAACCACACAUUUCUGGGUGUAAUUUGGAUAUUUAGGAUAUUCCAUUGUAGUUUGCAUCCUGUGAAUUGGGCUCUUUUAAUUUGAUUACAUUAAUACAUGUAUUUGAUAACUGCGUCAUGAGAAAUUGAAUGGUGUAUCGUGCAACUGUAUUGUCCAGCCAAUUUAAAUUGCUGCAUUUGAAACAACGCCAAGGACACACCUAUGUAUAUUAGGCCAGCAAAGAUAAAACGAGAGGUCCCAUUACCUGUAAUUGAUGUUAAAGGAAACUGUCAUUCUUUAGCCUGCAUGUAGGAUAUUACGCUGGGCACUUGAACUGACCCUUGAACGCCAUCUCCUCUUGUCUAUUAAAGUAUACACGUCUAGCUAUGACAUCAUAGUACAAUGCAUACAUCUAGAGGUGGCAGCUAGGCCUACUAAUAUUCUGUCACUUUCUUCCUAGAGCCUUGUUUUCCCCGGAUUUCCUGGCUCCAAAACCCAAUUACCAAGAUUGGGGUUGAUGAGGGGACAUUUUUGGAUGUAAAAGCGCGCACUGUCAUCGACUGAUGAGGGGUACGUGUCACGGGAUACUGCGUUUAAAAUCUAGAUACAAGUUGCCAAAGAGGCCUAAAACAUUUGAAGGAGAAGCUGCCCAUUUUUGACUGUGAGUUAGUUAGAAUGCUGAUCUUGCAAGUAUGAAGACAAACGAUUUAAAUGACGUUAAAUAACAUUUCCAUAUAAUACGUUGUAUACAUUUGUACAACGUUGCCUACAUAUUUUCCUUUGUUGUUGCUUGUGGGAUAGUAAUAGUCUUGUAAUACUAGGAUGGAAAUGUCAUGUGUAGACUGGUUUUGUUUUAGGUGCGUGGUGAUGAUAAAUCGCUAUUGUUUUUAUGCACUAAUGUAGUUAAUUACAAUGAGUGUAGGCCCAAUGUAGUACAAUGUUAUGUUGGUUCAAGAGAUAAAAGAUAAUUGUUUAGUCAGACAUGGCUAACAUUUUCCAUAUCACGGCUGUGUGUUUCAAGAUAAAUCAAAUUAAUCACAUUUUUAAAAUGCAAUUAUGAAUUGUUUACAUUUGCAUCCAUACCAUUCAUAUGUGUGUUACAUGAGCCUAUAAUCUCCAAAAGCAACAAGACGGAGUCCAAAGUCAGACACAAGAACAUCAAUAUUUUACACCCCCCCAGCUUUCUCUUCUGCAUUCAAUGAUCCAUUCAUUAGCUAUGUAUGUCUUCUAGGUCUGGCCUUUGUCAUUAACCAAUAAUUCUCCUCUAUUCAAUCCCACAUAACUUCACUGGCUCUGUACUUUUACAAAUGCCUCUAGGCUAUAAAUACUAAUGAAAUCUCUUUUCUUAAUUUGAUUUUGCUGGUACACUUGCAGUUAUGGCUGAACUUUCCCACGAGAGCGGCUGAUUGAACGGCUCUCCACUCCGUAUGGAAGCGGGAAAACAUUCCGCAGAGCCGGAGAGAUCAUUUCCAUAAUUACCCCAGUCUAUCCGCAGCCCUAACGACCUUCUGCAACAAUAAAAAUAUAUCUAGUUAAUUCCAUCUUUGUCGCUGACAUUCAGGAGAUUCCUAUAUUUGACAUGUUUGAGGGGUUCGCAAAAUAACAAGUGCAGGCUACAUUCUCCCCGGUCUUUCACUCCAAAGAGCAGUCGAUUCAAUUAGCCCCGACAGUUCACAGACAG
rnacentral:lncRNA from 1 species